rnacentral:rRNA from 1 species
CCUACGGGAGGCAGCAGUGGGGAAUAUUGGGCAAUGGAGGAAACUCUGACCCAGCGACGCCGCGUGCGGGAUGAAGGCCUUCGGGUUGUAAACCGCUUUCAGUAGGGAAGAAGCGAAAGUGACGGUACCUACAAAAGAAGCACCGGCUAACUAUGUGCCAGCAGCCGCGGUAAUACAUAGGGUGCAAGCGUUGUCCGGAAUUAUUGGGCGUAAAGAGCUCGUAGGUCGUUUGUUACGUCGGAUGUGAAAACCUGAGGCUCAACCUCAGGCCUGCAUUCGAUACGGGCAAACUAGAGUUUGGUAGGGGAGACUGGAAUUCCUGGUGUAGCGGUGGAAUGCGCAGGUAUCAGGAGGAACACCAAUGGCGAAGGCAGGUCUCUGGGCCAAUACUGACACUGAGGAGCGAAAGUCUGGGGAGCGAACAGGAUUAGAUACCCUGGUAGUCCAGACCGUAAACGGUGGGCACUAGUUGUGGGAACCUUCCACGGUUUCUGCGACGCAGCUAACGCAUUAAGUGCCCCGCCUGGGGAGUACGAUCGCAAGAUUAAAACUCAAAGGAAUUGACGG